rnacentral:tRNA from 1 species
GCAAAUUUGGUCUAGUGGUACGAUACACGCCUUCCACGCGAGUGACGCGGGUUCGAUUCCCGCAAUUUGCU